GAUGAACGCUGGCGGCGUGCCUAAUACAUGCAAGUCGAGCGAACAGACGAGGAGCUUGCUCCUCUGACGUUAGCGGCGGACGGGUGAGUAACACGUGGAUAACCUACCUAUAAGACUGGGAUAACUUCGGGAAACCGGAGCUAAUACCGGAUAAUAUAUUGAACCGCAUGGUUCAAUAGUGAAAGACGGUUUUGCUGUCACUUAUAGAUGGAUCCGCGCCGCAUUAGCUAGUUGUUAAGUUAACGGCUUACCAAGGCAACGAUGCGUAGCCGACCUGAGAGGGUGAUAGGCCACACUGGAGCUGAGCCACGGUCCAGACUCCUACGGGAGGCAGCAGUAGGGAAUCUUACGCAAUGGGCGAAAGCCUGACGGAGCAAGGCCGCGUGAGUGAUAAAGGUGUUCGGAUCGUAAAACUCUGUUAUUAGGGAAGAACAAAUGUGUAAGUAACUAUGCACGUCUUGACGGUACCUAAUCAGAAAGCCACGGCUAACUACGUG
rnacentral:rRNA from 1 species